GGGCGAGUGGCGGAAUUGGUAGACGCUACGGACUUAAAAUCCGUUGAUCGCGAGAUCGUGGGGGUUCGAGUCCCCCCUUGCCCA
rnacentral:tRNA from 1 species